rnacentral:snRNA from 1 species
GUGCUAGCCACGGCAGCACAUAUACUAAAAUUGGAUUGAUACAGAGAAGAUUAGCAUGGCUCCUGCGAAAGGAUGACACACAAAUCUGUGAAGCGCUCCAUUUUUUU